rnacentral:rRNA from 1 species
GAUGAACGCUGGCGGCGUGCCUAACACAUGCAAGUCGAACGAAGCACUUUGAAGUUUUCGGACAGAUGGGUGACUGAGUGGCGGACGGGUGAGUAACGCGUGGGUAACCUGCCUCAUACAGGGGGAUAACAGUUAGAAAUGACUGCUAAUACCGCAUAAUGUUAUUUGGGGGCAUCCCUGAAUAACCAAAGCUUUAUGUGCUGAAAGAUGGUCUCGCGUCUGAUUAGCUAGAUGGCGGGGUAACGGCCCACCAUGGCGACGAUCAGUAGCCGGUCUGAGAGGAUGAACGGCCACAUUGGGACUGAGAUACGGCCCAGACUCCUACGGGAGGCAGCAGCUAAGAAUAUUCCGCAAUGGGGGAAACCCUGACGGAGCGACGCCGCGUGGAGGAAGAAGGUUUUCGGAUUGUAAACUCCUGUCUUAAAGGACGAUAAUGACGGUACUUUAGGAGGAAGCUCCGGCUAACUACGUG